rnacentral:rRNA from 1 species
CAGCAGCCACGGUAAUACGUAGGUGGCAAGCGUUGUCCGGAAUUAUUGGGCGUAAAGGGCUCGCAGGCGGUUUCUUAAGUCUGAUGUGAAAGCCCCCGGCUCAACCGGGGAGGGUCAUUGGAAACUGGGAAACUUGAGUGCAGAAGAGGAGAGUGGAAUUCCACGUGUAGUGGUGAAAUGCGUAGAGAUGUGGAGGAACACCAGUGGCGAAGGCGACUCUCUGGUCUGUAACUGACGCUGAGGAGCGAAAGCGUGGGGAGCGAACAGGAUUAGAGACCCGAGUAGUCCCUGUCUCUUAUAC